rnacentral:rRNA from 1 species
GGGUUGUGAGGUUAAGCGACUAAGCGUACACGGUGGAUGCCCUGGCAGUCAGAGGCGAUGAAGGACGUGCUAAUCUGCGAUAAGCGUCGGUAAGGUGAUAUGAACCGUUAUAACCGGCGAUUUCCGAAUGGGGAAACCCAGUGUGUUUCGACACACUAUCAUUAACUGAAUCCAUAGGUUAAUGAGGCGAACCGGGGGAACUGAAACAUCUAAGUACCCCGAGGAAAAGAAAUCAACCGAGAUUCCCCCAGUAGCGGCGAGCGAACGGGGAGCAGCCCAGAGCCUGAAUCAGUAUGUGUGUUAGUGGAAGCGUCUGGAAAGGCGCGCGAUACAGGGUGACAGCCCCGUACACAAAAAUGCACAUGCUGUGAGCUCGAUGAGUAGGGCGGGACACGUGGUAUCCUGUCUGAAUAUGGGGGGACCAUCCUCCAAGGCUAAAUACUCCUGACUGACCGAUAGUGAACCAGUACCGUGAGGGAAAGGCGAAAAGAACCCCGGCGAGGGGAGUGAAAAAGAACCUGAAACCGUGU